AGGAGCCGGAUGAGUCGAGAGGUUCACGUCCGGUUCUGGGAGAGCCUGAAGGGGAAGUUCCUUUGGGCUACUCACC
rfam:Desulfobacterales bacterium PC51MH44 PC51MH44_contig000447, whole genome shotgun sequence.